UCUCUCUCUUCUCCGCUUUGCAACCAAAACAAACCACACAGGUUAAUAUUUUUUUUUGAUUUGUUCUUGUUCUUGUGUUUGUCCCAAUGGCCGGUGUUUCGAGUCGAACACGAAGCACACUGGCUGGUGUUUCGGGUCGUACUCGAAGUAAGAAUGUUCCGCUGUUCGGUAGUCUUUCAUUUCAUGGCUUGUUUAAAUCUAAGCGCAGAAAAAGUGAUACGGGUUUGGGGUCUAAAAAAAGGAAGCCAAAUGAAGAAUCUCUUGUGUUGCAUGAACAGGUUAAGUUAAUUUCUGAGGGUUGUGUUGAACAAGUACAAAAUGUUGAUGUGGAAGAUUGUGAAAGAAACAACUUUGAGGGAUGUGUUGGUGUUGAAAAGGAAGUAGAGAAAGAGAAAAGUGGAGGAAUUGGUGAGUUGGCUGAAAAAGAUGAAAUCUUUGAUGAUGAGAAGGGUGGGUUGUUAUCUGAAAAGCUGAUUAUAGAUCCAGAGGAUGAAUCUGAUGAUGAUGAUGAUGAUAGUGAAGAUGAAUCUGAUGAUGAUGGUGAUGAUGAUGACGGAAGUGAAGAAAGUGAGGAAAUUGAGACUAGUGAUGAAGAAUAUCAAGUUGAUGAGGUGAAUGAAGUUUCUGACAGUGAUGAUAGCGGUACUUAUGUUGAUGAUGAUGAUAGUGGUGAGGAGAAAGAAGAGAGGACAAAGAGUUGGAAGAAGAAGGAGGAGAAGAAAAAGGGUUCGGAGGAGGAGGAGGAGAAAAUGGGUUGGGAGGAAGAGAAGAAAAUGGGUUGGAAGAAGGAGGAGGAGGAGAAGAACAUGGAUCGGGAGGAGGAGAGGAAAAUGAGUUGGGAGGAGAAGAACAUGGGUUUGGAGGAGGAGGAGGAGAGGAAAAUGUAUUGGGAGGAGACGGAGGAGGUGGUGGUGGAGGAGGAGGAGAAGAAAAUGAGAUGGGAGGAGACGGAGGUGGUGGUGGUGGUGGAGGAGGAGGAGGAGAAAAUGAGUUGGGAGGAGAAGGAGGAUGAGGUGGUGGUGGAAGAGGAGGAGAAGAAAAUGUGUUGGGAGGAGACGGAGGUGGUGGUGGUGGUGGAGGAGGAGAGGAAAAAGUGUUGGGAAGAGACGGAGGUGGUGGUGGUGGAGGAGAAGAAAAAGUGUUGGGAAGAGACGGAGGUGGUGGUGGUGGAGGAGGAUGAGAAGAAAAUGAGUUGGGAGGAGAAGGAGGAGGAUGAGAAGAAAAUGAGUUGGGAGGAGAAGGAGGAGGAGAAGAAAAUGUGUUGGGAGGAGACGGAGGAGUUGGUGGUGGAGGAGGAGAAAGAGGCGGAUUUGGAUAUGAUUUGGCAAGAAUAUAGCAAUGGGCUGGCAGAGAUGGGGAGAGAGGCCAAUGGCCAAGGUUCUGCAAACAAUGAUGAAUUGGAGCAUGCAUAUGAAGGUAAUGUAAGAUCCUCUAAUGCCUUAAAAAAAAAGGGUUCUUUUGUUCCAAUGGAGGCUCCUUCUUCAAAAUUGCAUCAAGCACCGGAGACACUGACAUCAAAAGGCCUGCAAAUGAAAGUGAGAAAUGUCUCUGAUGACGAUGAUAAUGUUUAUGUUGGCAAAACCAUUUCCAAGUCCAAAUCCAAAUCCAAAGAAAGUGUGGUUAUUGGUGAUUGUGUUGAAGAAAAAAUGCAAUCUUUUCGAGGUAUAGGUGUUGGGGAUGAAAGUGAUUCUUGUAUUCAAACACAACAGAAGAAGGUGAAGGCUUCAGAUAAACAGCAAAUGAUGGAGAUGAAGGAAAGUAUUUAUAAAGGUAGAGCUAACACCCAUAGUGGCGGGAAGAACAAAUCCACGGAUCAAAAUGGUUCGAAUCAAAGGGGAAAAAGCACAGUUUUUAGGCCGAAGGAGUUGCGUUUAGUCGAACUCCUUGCUGAAUACUAUUGGGGAAACAAGAAUAAUAAAAUUAAGAAUGAUUCACCUGUGUUGGAGAUAAAAGAUGUUAUUCGCCAAGAUACACGCCCACCACCUGUUUGUAACGAGACAACUCCAUUGAUAUGGAGCCUUAAAAAGGCGGAGAAAGUGCAAAAGACCAAGAACGAGGAGGAGGAGGAAGUACUGUGGGAUCAAAUGGAUACAAGCCUCAGAGAACUCGAAGCUGAAUCCAUGAUCGGAAAUUUGGGGACCAAUGAAGCUACUCAGGAAAAAAUCGGAAGUCCAUCCUCUGACUGUGAACAUGAUAUCUAUCUUGAUGAAGAGAUCGGUGUAUAUUGCAGGCGGUGUGGUUGGGUUGUUACUGACAUUAAAGAUGUCUCGCCACAAGUGGUUGAUAAAUUUCCCUAUGAAGGUUCGGGACAAAGGGCUUUGUUUGGUGAUGCAAAUGUCGCACACUUUCAUGGCUCUCACUUCAAUGUUUCUGAUCAUGACUCGGAGACUAAUUUCUCUUGCGAUGAAAGAACAGUUUGGGACCUAAUUCCUGAUGUAAAACAGACCUUAUAUUCUCACCAACAAGAAGGUUUUGAGUUCAUUUGGAAUAAGUUAGUAGGAAACAUGGAGCUUCGAGGGUUAAAGAACACCAAUCUUCAAAGGGAGGGUGGUUGCAUUAUUUCACAUGCUCCUGGUACUGGAAAGACAAAGCUGACAAUAAUGUUUCUCAAGGCUUAUUUAAAAGUUUUUCCGAAAUGCUUGCCGGUCAUUGUUGCUCCAGCGGGUUUGUUGCUUACUUGGGAAGACGAAUUCAAAAAAUGGGACAUAGGUGUUCCAUUUCACAAUUUGAACAAUCCUGAGUUAUCUGUUAAAGAGCAUGAUGAUGUUGUUAAUGCAACUGAUUGGUCUAAUACAGGGAGGCAUAGUAAAGACGAGACGCGGAUGGCUAAACUGAUUUCGUGGUUCAAAGAAACGAGCAUUCUGGGAAUCAGUUACACUUUGUUCCAGGAUCUAGCCUACGGAGAAGUGGAAUGCACAGAUAAGAAAAAGAAUAAGCAUGCGAAAGGAUGGGAAUGGGAGUCCGAAGAUAAGAAAUAUAAUAAACAGAAGAGAAAAGAAAACAGUUAUAUGAGGAAGGCUUUGCUUGAAGCUCCUGGUUUGUUGGUUCUAGAUGAAGGACAUACGCCAAGAAAUGCAAGAAGUCUUGUUUGGAAGGUGUUGUCAAAAGUUCAAACAAAGAAGCGAAUUAUGCUUUCUGGAACUCCUUUCCAGAAUAAUUUCUUGGAACUGUACAACACUUUCAGCAUAGUGAAGCCUUCUUUUCCUAACACGAUACCGCCCAAGCUGAAAAAGUUUUGCCAGAAACAUAAGAAAGCAGCAAAAGAAGAAUGGAGUUGGGAACCGGUUACUGGAAACAGUACAACAGGAAAUACUUCUGAUGAUAAGAUCAAGCAUUUGAAGUUACUAAUGGCUCCCUUUGUUCAUGUUUACAAAGGCGCGAUUCUUCAAAAGAAGCUUUUCGGGUUAAGAGAAUGUGUGCUUCGUUUGAAGCCGGACAGGUUUCAGAAACAAAUUCUUGAGGGCAUUAAAAGUUCUCAGAACAUAUUGAAAUUUGAGCAUAAGCUGAUACUGGCAUCGGUCCAUCCGUCUCUAUUCCUCGAAUGCAAACUUUUGGAAGAAGAAGAAGCUGUUGUCGACAAGGAACAGCUUGAAAAACUUAGAUUGAAUCCAAAUAUCGGCGUCAAAACAAAAUUUUUGGUGGAGUUUGUUAAUCUUUGUGUUGCUGUUAAUGAAAAAGUUCUUGUGUUCAGCCAAUUCAUUCCCCCUUUACGCUUAAUUGUUGAGCAAUUAAACUCAAUCUUCAAUUGGGCCGAGGGGAAGGAAAUACUCUACAUGGAUGGCAAUAUAGAUCUGAAGGAAAAGCAGUCUAUAAUCCACAACUUCAACGAUGCAAACAGCAAAGCUAAGAUUCUACUUGCAUGUACGAAAGCUUGUUCCGAGGGAAUUAGCUUAGUUGGAGCGUCGAGGGUCGUGCUACUUGAUGUUGUAUGGAAUCCUUCUGUCGAGCGACAGGCUAUCAGUAGAGCAUAUAGGAUUGGACAAAAGAGAGUUGUGUACACGUACCAUCUGCUCACGCACGAGACUACCGAGUGCGUCAAAUAUUUCAAACAGGCCGAAAAGGACCGGUUGUCUGAACUAGUAUUUUCGGAUAAUCACAUGGGCAAAAACCGUGCGGCGAACUUUAAAGAUGGUAUUCUUGAUCUAAUGCUUCAGCAUGAAAAACUUAAAGACAUGUUUGUUGAGUGUGUGGUACAGCCAAAGGAAAGAGAUCUGGUGGAGAGUUUUUAUUAUUGAUUAUGAUGAAUGUCCAAGGAGUAAUUGCAGAGAUUCUUCAACCUUGCUCACCUUGCAAAACUAGUUCAUGCUUUCUAAUGUAACAUUUUUUGUGAAUUACUGUACGUUAUUUUCUAAGCCACCAAACCUCCGAUGAAAAUGAAAUUUUGGAGUAUUUAUUCCAUGGAGCGCCUGAAGAGAGAAUUGAUGCGAUGGUUAGACGGAGACAUUGAACAUGGUGAACAAAUUAGAAGGAUCCGGAGAAGAAGAACAUCCACUUCACUUGCAACUGGAAAACCUCGUUGUUGAGGAAGUCAAAACAGAUAGAGACGUAAUCUCGAUGAUGCAUGAAG